GCUGGGCAUGGUGGUGCAUGCCUGUAAUCCCAGUGGCUUGGGAAGCUGGGGCAGGAGGAUCACAAGUUCAAAGCCAGCCUCAUCAAAUUAGCAAAGCCCUAAGCAACUUAAUGAGACCCUGUCUCUA
rnacentral:sRNA from 1 species